rnacentral:rRNA from 1 species
GACGAACGCUGGCGGCGUGCCUAAUACAUGCAAGUCGAGCGAUGAAGAUUGGUGCUUGCACCAAUUUGAAGAGCAGCGAACGGGUGAGUAACGCGUGGGGAAUCUGCCUUUGAGCGGGGGACAACAUUUGGAAACGAAUGCUAGUACCGCAUAACAACUUUAAACAUAAGUUUUAAGUUUGAAAGAUGCAAUUGCAUCACUCAAAGAUGAUCCCGCGUUGUAUUAGCUAGUUGGUGAGGUAAAGGCUCACCAAGGCGAUGAUACAUAGCCGACCUGAGAGGGUGAUCGGCCACAUUGGGACUGAGACACGGCCCAAACUCCUACGGGAGGCAGCAGUAGGGAAUCUUCGGCAAUGGACGAAAGUCUGACCGAGCAACGCCGCGUGAGUGAAGAAGGUUUUCGGAUCGUAAAACUCUGUUGGUAGAGAAGAACGUUGGUGAGAGUGGAAAGCUCAUCAAGUGACGGUAACUACCCAGAAAGGGACGGCUAACUACGUG